rnacentral:rRNA from 1 species
CGCACGGAAAAUAAACGGGGCUUAAGCACACCACCGAAGCUGCGGAUCUAUUCCAUUUAUUUGGAGUGGGUGGUAGGGGAGCGUUCUCAGUGCGCCGAAGUCAGGCUGUAAGGCCUGGUGGAGCGUUGAGAAGUGAGUAUGUUGGCAUAAGUAGCGUCAAUGUCGGUGAGAAUCCGACACGCCGAAAGUCUAAGGUUUCCUACGCUACGCUGAUCGACGUAGGGUUAGGCGGGCCUAAGGUGUAGCCGAAUGGCGAAGCCGAUGGACAGCAGGUCAAAAUUCCUGCCCCGUCUUAAACUUGUUUGAAUUAUGGAGGGGACGCGGACUGAUAAGCAACGCAUGCCUAUUGGAUAUGGUGUGUGCAUUUCUGUAAGUGAGUGACGGGAGGUAAAAAGCCCGUCAUGCUUGAGCCGAGGGACGUGCGAACCAUGAGGUUCUCCUCAUGGAACGUUGCCGAUUCUAUGCCGCCUAGAAAAGCCUCGAUAAUUAGAGUUUAAGUCGUCCGUACCGCAAACCGACACUGGUAGACAGGGAUAAAUGUCCCAAGGCGUUCGAGACAACCAUCGUUAAGGAACUCGGCAAAUUAACCCCGUAACUUCGGAAGAAGGGGAGCCUCUGAUGUAUUAGGACUUGCUCCGAAAGCAUUGGUGGCCGCAGAGAAUAGGUUCGAGCGACUGUUUAUCAAAAACACAGGUCCGUGCUAAACCGAAAGGUGAUGUAUACGGGCUGACGCCUGCCCAGUGCCGGUAGGUUAAGGAAGGAGGUGAGAGCUUCCGACUGAAGCCCCGGUGAACGGCGGCCGUAACUAUAACGGUCCUAAGGUAGCGAAGUCCCUUGUCGGGUAAGUUCCGACCCGCACGAAUGGCGUAACGACUUGAACACUGUCUCAACGAUGGACUCGGUGAAAUUGCAGGACCCGUAAAGAUGCGGGUUACGCGCAGCAGGACAAAAAGACCCCGUGGAGCUUUACUGCAGCUUGACAUUGGUUCGAGCUUUAACCUGUGUAGGAUAGGCGGGAGACUAUGAAUUAGAUGCGCCAGCAUUUAAGGAGUCGCCCUUGAAAUACCGCCCUGAUUACAGUUUGAAUCUAACUUUUACUAGAACAGUGUCUGGUGGGCAGUUUGACUGGGGCGGUCGCCUCCCAAAGAGUAACGGAGGCGCACAAAGGUCACCUCAGGCUGGAUGGAAAUCAGCCUUAGAGCGUAUUGGUAUAAGGUGGCUUGACUGCGAGACAUACAAGUCGAGCAGGGACGAAAGUCGGUCAAAGUGAUCCCACGGUACCGUGUGGAAGGGCCGUGGCUUAACGGAU